UGCGACCCCAGGUCAGGCGGGACUACCCGCUGAGUUUAAGCA
rnacentral:rRNA from 2 species